UCAAGGUCACAGAGUCAAAAAGUCAUGAUCUGUUCACAGGUAAUAUGAAUGCCCUUUCAUUUAUCUUUCAAAAUGAUCAAUUUAAAGCAAUUAAUUUCUUUAUGAAAUUAGGUCAAACUUCAAGGUCAUGGGUAAUAAAAAUCAUAGUGUAUUUAGAAUGGUAUUGUCCCAUUUAAUACUAAUACGCAUGUUUAAUAUAAAAGUCCUGUCUCUUCUCAUUCAAAAUAUAUGACCAUAUGACCAAGGUUAAAUUUAUUGUGACAGAUGGGCAGAUUGAAAAACAAAUGAGAUUUAAUGUACCCUACCUUUAGCGAAAAUGGGGGACAAUAAAUGUCUUUGCUGUUCUUGAGAAGAAGAUUUAUGGUGGAAAAAGUCCCCUGCAUAUUUAAAUGUAAAUUGGUUGAAAUUGGCCCAGUGGUUCUUAAGAAGUUAAUGUGAAAAGUUUGCAGACAAACAGAUGUACAACAGAAAUCAGUACAUUUCAGAAAACAGUAUGCUUAUAAAUAGUUAAUCAAGGUGCUUUGGGUAGCAAAAUAAAGCUAAACUGGUAUAUCUAAUUCAUCCGCAGAGCUUAGUAUAUUUUAAUAUGCACAACCUUUUCAACUCUUAUCAUGAUUAUUUUUUAAAAUUUAUAUCACCAUGUCUCAUUCAAGGGAGAACUAGAGAUAUGACCAGAUGUAUAUCUGUUGAAUAUAAAAUAUGUACAUGUA